UUACAUACAUACAUACAUAUAUAUAUAUAUAUAUAUGUGUGUGUGUGUGUGUGUGUGUGUAU
rnacentral:miRNA from 1 species